GUGGUAAUUUUGGGUUUUGUUGGUUUUGGGUUUUUUUGGUACAACAUUGUUCAUCUUCCUUUGUAAAUGGCAGAUUUAAUCCAAUCUAAUUUUGCAGUUUACAACAUUCUGCUGACACAUUCCAUGUUACUUAUUUUAUUUGCAGUGUAACCACAAAAAUAAUUUCCAUUUUCAAUAAAGAUAAAAUAUUAGAAGAACCUAUUUUUCUUAGUCCACUAAGUGUAACUUUUUUAUUUCCAGGUAUUUAUGAGAUUCUGUAGUAAAUGUAUCAUCCUAAAGCCUAUUUAAGGUUGGAAUGGCAAAUGAUCAGCAAGAGAGAAUUAUAACAUAAUGUUUUAAACAUGCAAACAUAGGUUGGGGGAAAGGGGAAGUGAGGGGCUCCUGCUUUGGCAGGAAGAAUAUAAUACAGAAUCAAAAGAAAAAGAAAACAGCAAUCAGAUGCUGAGCCUAUUUACUCAAAGGAAUAGAUCAUUCAGUACACCGUUCAUGGAAGUUUUUUAAAGGCAAUAUGAAUUCCUGUCUCUGUUGUAUGUGUUAGAUAACGUGCUACCUGAAGGAACAGGGAUGAGUUCAAUGAACUUUGUCUUUUUAACCCUGUCGGUGAUUUAUCUUUAAAUUAUAGCAUAAGGUAUAGAUUUCAAACAAUUAUUUUGAAUUACAGUAUCAUAGCUUGAUGCUGCCAGGAGAGAAUCUACUUUCUAAUAAAGUUAAGGAAGUUAGUGGCAAAGAGGAACGUUUAUU
rnacentral:lncRNA from 1 species